rnacentral:rRNA from 1 species
CCCUUAGAUGUUCUGGGCCGCACGCGCGCUACACUGAUGCAUUCAACGAGUCUAAAACCUGCUCUGAUAGGGGUGGGUAAUCUUUUGAAUGUGCAUCGUGAUUGGGAUAGAUGAUUGCAAUUUUUCAUCUUCAACGGGGAAUGCCUAGUAAACACAAGUCAUCAGCUUGCAUUGAUUACGUCCCUGCCCUUUGUACACACCGCCCGUCGCUCCUACCGAUUGAAUGAUCCGAUGAAUAUCAUGGAUUGAGGAUGCAAGUAGGUUAGCCUAUCUUCAUCUUCGAGAAGUGAAGUAAAUCUUAUCAUUUAGAGGAAGGAGAAGUCGUAACA